CACGCGGCCGCCCCCUCGGUGCUUCCCGCGGGGAAAUACCUGCUCCCCGUCGGGCUCCCACAGCGGGUACCGAGCAACCAGGCUGAAGGUAAUGCAUCCACAUUUUGCUAAAGGAGGUUCCCAGACAUCAACCUGAUGCCACCUGCAGAUGGACACGGCUAGCUCUCCAUCUCCCACAGCUGCGUCCUCAUCUGUGGGUCUCAAUACAGCUGAAGGAUGAGCAAUGACACCUUUCACCAUCAUCUUCUGCAAAUUGCACUGAGCUGAGGGCAUCAAAGCAUGCGGAGGUUACAGCAUCCAGCAGCAGUGUGCUAUCCGCCAGACCUGACUGACAUUCCACUGCUCACAGCUGUUCUACACCAUCAUUUAUAGCUUUGGCAACUAACCAGUAAACGGCUCUGCAAAAUGUGCUGAUUGAGUACAUCUGCAAGGUCUUAUCAACAGAUGGAUCAGAGCACAGCAGCAGUGCAAUAUUCUUUAAUUGCUCCAUUCCUCGACAAACAGGCAGAUAGUACUGCUUUGACCACGAGUGGAGCAAAGGAGCAGAUAUCUGGACUCAGGGUCGCAGGUUACAAAUGGAUGACUGCGGGCAGCAGGGCGGGACAGAAACCGAGAAACAAUACAGCUUUCAUCAAGCUGUAAGAGAUGCUGGUUUUAAAUACGGAGUGAUUGGCAACGUGGAGAGACUCAAUGAUGUGGCUGAGGAGUUGCUACUGGAAAGUGCAGAAGAAAGCAAAGCAGAAAACAACUCAGUUCCUGUCGUUAACCUUCUAGCAAUGAACUGGAGGAGCCCUUCUGAAAGGCAGAGCUUAAACAUGUAAAAAUCUUCAGUAGCCUGAGGGACCUGCUACAAAUAAUCUGUUCUGGCCAAUUAGGACUAGAUCUUGUAGGUUACACAGAUACCUGCUUCCCAAAACUGGAGUGCUGGGAGGGGAUGAGGGGAUGUGAAGAUUUGGAGUAUCCAAAUGCUCCUUCUGAUGAGUGAAGAAUGCAUUGUGGGUGUAUAUGAACACCUUGUAUGGCUGGUAAUGCAUCUUGAACUUAUGUAUGUAUAGGCUGCCUGGUGGAGGAGACUUACUCUUAGCUGCUGCUUGCAGAUGAAUUGUAACCCAUGACUGGAAAUAAUGCCAAAAUAAAAAGAAUGCAUGCUCUUUUGUUCUGCCUGUGAAUCAACACAAACACUACAGGUUUAGAUGUUACUAAGAUUAGAUAAAUAGUCACCUUGCAUGCAACCUUGCUUUAAGACUGUCCAGUGGGUUCAGACUGGUAAAAUGCAUGGGAGUAUGACCUAAACAUCUACCUGUAAUGAACUUCAUUAUCCACAGACUUUACUUUUGCUUAACUGCUCCAAAAGGCUGGAGGAUUAAAAGCAAUUUAUGUACUAGUUGUCAUACCUUCAAGAUGUUCUUUCAGCUCCCUGAAAUAUCACAAGCUCUUGGCUGUGUACUGGCUAGCUGUCAAUUAGGUGGUCAUUUACCUCACUGGUUGUAGUUUCUUUUGCUAGUGCUAAUUGAUGUCUUACCAUGGACCAGCUUGCAGCCAGGUGUGGAUCUGAAGAACUUCUGUGAUUUCCAAACAGCUGGAGUUGUUGUUCUGAUCACAGAUGAUGAUUGUUGCUUUGUCUGGUCUUUUUUCUUCUGGCUUGCUUAUAUCUCAGCCAAAUGCAAAGCUCAUGCAAGCUAACUAGCUUGUGAAGUUUAAGACAUGCCAAUUGCUUUCCUUCAUAAUGUAGACUGAUAAAAUCUUAAUUCAUUCUUAUGCCUUUUGUCAAUUUACAAUUGCUGUUAA